UUUAAGAUGGCAGAUAAAAUGCAUAGACUUUAAGCGUCUAAGAUGGGUUAAGUCCCUCUUAAAA
rnacentral:tRNA from 1 species